rnacentral:lncRNA from 1 species
GAAGUUGUGCACUUUCUAGACGAGAAGCAUCCAAACCACUAUCAAGUCUACAAUCUAUGCAGUGUGGUGAAAGAGCUUAUGAUCCUAAGCACUUCCAUAAUAGCGUUGGUAGACUCAUGAUUGAUGAUCAUAAUGUCCCCACUCUGAGAUGGUGGUUUUCACCAAGGAAGUAAAUGAGUGGAUGGCUCAAGAUCUUGAAAACAUCGUAGCGAUUCACUGUAAAGGAGGCAAAGGAAGAACCGGAACUAUGAUUUGUGCCUUCCUUAUUGCCUCCGAAAUAUUUUUAACUGCAGAGGAAAGCCUGUAUUAUUUUGGAGAAAGGCGAACAGAUAAAACGCACAGCAGUAAAUUUCAGGGACUAGAAACUCCUUCUCAGAUAUGUUGGAUAUUUUGCACAAGUGAAACAUCUCUACAACUGGAAUCUCCCUCCAAGACGGAUACUCUUUAUAAUAAGAUUCAUUAUUUAUUCGAUUCGUGGUGUUGGAACAGGCGAUGUAUGUGAUCUAAAAUUCCAAAUAGUAAUGGAGAAAAAGGUUGUCUUUUCCAGUACUUCAUUAGGAAAUUGUUCAAUACUGCAUGACAUUGAAACAGCUGGUGUAUUAACUAAUGUAUAUGACAGUCCAUCUCUGUACGAUGAUGUGAAAGUGCAGUUUUUCUCUUCGAAUCUUCCUAAAUACUAUGACAAUUGUUCAUUUUUCUUCUGGUUCAACACAUCUUUUAUUCAAAAUAACAGGCUUUAUCUACCAAGAAAUGAAUUGGAUAAUCCACAUCAACAAAAAGCAUGGAAAAUUUAUCCACCAGAAUUUGCCGUGGAGAUACUUUUUGGCGAGAAAUGACUUCCAAUGACGUAGCUGGAUCCGAUUAAGUAUAGUUUCCCCUUCCCCUUCUGGGAAAGAAUUAAUGUUCUUUCCAACCCCUGCCAUGUGCAUGUUCAUAUGUCCUAAGUCUUCCUUGAUGAUGUAUCUAUAUUUAUAUAUGUUUAUAUAUGUUCUUCAUAAAUCUAUUAA